GUUAUUCAUCUUUAUUAGGUUUAUAGGGUACCUAGACCGAAAGCCAAGCCUUAAUCGGGACUAGUUUUCUAGAGUUUUAUGUGAGAAAGUUGAAUGAUCAGAGUAGAGUCAAAAUUCGCUAAUACUGAUAAGACGGAUAACGGCGAAGGCUGCUUUCUAUGUAAAAAACUGACGUUGAGGUACGAAGCCCAGGGUAGCAAGAAGGAUUAGAUACCCUAGUAGUCCUGGGAGAAAAUUAUGAGUGCCAUAGAUUAGAUAUAUGAUUAAUUUAUAAAUGAAAGUGUAAGCAUUCCACCUCAUGAGUAAAGCGGCAACGCCCAAAUUGAAAUCAUUAGACCGUUUCUGAAACCAGUAGUGAAGUAUGUUAUUUAAUUCGAUAAUCCGCGAAAAACCUUACCACACUUUGAAUAAUAUUCAAUUUUUACAAGCGCUGCACGGCUGUCUACAGUUGAUAUCGUGAGAUUUUGGUUAAUUCCUUUAAUUAACGAAAACCCUUGUUUUAUUUUUUCAAAUAAAGCUGUUCUCCGUCUAGAUGGGAUAUGCUAAAAGGGAGCAAGACAAGUCAUUAUGGCCUUAAUAGU
rnacentral:rRNA from 1 species